AUGCGCCUUGCCAGCCCGCUCAGAAACUCAAAGGAAUUGACGGGGGCCCGGCACAAGCGGAGGAACAUGUGGUUUAAUUCGAUGAUACGCGAGGAACCUUACCUGGGCUUAAAGUGGGGAGUGACAGCUGUCGAAAGAUGGUUUUCUUCGGACACUCUUCAAGGUGCUGCAUGGUUGUCGUCAGCUCGUGCCGUGAGGUGUCGGGUUAAGUCCCAUAACGAGCGCAACCCUUACCGUUAGUUACCAUCAGGUUAAGCUGGGGACUCUAGCGGGACUGCCACCGUAAGGUGAGAGGAAGGUGGGGAUGACGUCAAAUCAGCACGGCCCUUAUGUCCAGGGCUACACACGUGUUACAAUGGCCGGUACAAAGGGCAGCUACUUCGCGAGAAGAUGCUAAUCUCGAAAGCCGGUCUCAGUUCGGAUCGAAGUCUGCAACCCGACUUCGUGAAGCUGGAUUCGCUAGUAAUCGCGCAUCAGCCAUGGCGCGGUGAAUACGUUCCCGGGCCUU
rnacentral:rRNA from 1 species